AGUGAACGCUGGCGGUAGGCCUAACACAUGCAAGUCGAACGGCAGCACAGUAAGAGCUUGCUCUUACGGGUGGCGAGUGGCGGACGGGUGAGGAAUACAUCGGAAUCUACUUUUUCGUGGGGGAUAACGUAGGGAAACUUACGCUAAUACCGCAUACGACCUACGGGUGAAAGCAGGGGAUCUUCGGACCUUGCGCGAUUGAAUGAGCCGAUGUCGGAUUAGCUAGUUGGCGGGGUAAAGGCCCACCAAGGCGACGAUCCGUAGCUGGUCUGAGAGGAUGAUCGGCCACACUGGAAGUGAGACAGGGUCCAGACUCCUACGGGAGGCAGCAGUGGGGAAUAUUGGACAAUGGGCGCAAGCCUGAUCCAGCCAUACCGCGUGGGUGAAGAAGGCCUUCGGGUUGUAAAGCCCUUUUGUUGGGAAAGAAAAGCAGCAGGUUAAUACCCCGCUGUUCUGACGGUACCCAAAGAAUAAGCACCGGCUAACUUCGCG
rnacentral:rRNA from 1 species